rnacentral:tRNA from 1 species
GGUGCCGUAGUGUAAUGGUUAUCAUGCGACGUUGUGGUUCAUUCCGCAGUCCCGUCUCGAUCUGGGUUCGAUUCCCAGCGGCGCCA